rnacentral:snoRNA from 1 species
GAUUAAUGAUGAUUAAAAAACUUUCGUUCUUCCGAGUUUUUAAUGCGGAAAAACCUGGAGACCUGAUCUGAGCGAUU